CCCUACAUUGUCCUAGUCAGUAAAUUAAAGAAAAUAAAAAAGAAAAAAAAUCUAGGGUCGGCCAAACUGAUCUCCAGGAUCGGCUGAACUCAACCCAGUGUGGAAGAGGACCUACUCCGAUAACAGAUCUUUUAAGGGAGGAAUCUUGUACUCCUAUAAUAGCACAGAGCUACAAAGGUCCUCUCCUUCCAACUUCGGCAUCCGAAACACAGCAUCUCUUGGCCGACCCCAGCUCAGU
rnacentral:lncRNA from 1 species